GCUUGGCUGGCUCAGUCAGCAGAGCACGUGACUCUUGAUCUUGGGGUUAUGGGUUCGAGCCCCAUGUUGGGUG
rnacentral:tRNA from 1 species